CUCGCGACUCCCUCACCGCUCCCAGCAGCCUGUUGGGCUGUGAACCGGGCUUCUCUAUUGGCUCUUGAGUUAAAUACGCAAGUUCGUCUGGACUGUAACGUUCAGGCUUUUGACCCCGAGUUUCCAUUUGAUUUCCGCCCGAAUCAAAAAUGGCCCCCAGCCGCUUCUAACAAAUAGCAAAGGGGCGGAACGGAAGGAAGGGGGUCUGGCAAUUGGAGUGACGUCACGAGCGCCGCAGCUCUGAUUGGCUGAGCCGCGUGGCCCGAAGUGAUGCAUUGGAACGGUGGCUGAGCUCUGGACAGGGAAGUCUGAAGUUACACUUAAUUCAUCUAGGGGCUAUGGAGAGAUCUCUUUCAAGAACUUGGAAAUGAGAAGCACACACAGAUCAGUGAAGAACUAGACAAAAGCACCGUGAACACUGACCCUCUCACAGAGCUGUGACAGUAUGACUAAUUCUAUCUAAAGGAGGAAGAGGAGCCUCAGAAGGCAGUCUGUCCACAAGCUCCCGAGGCAAUGCUGGUAAAACCGACCCAAGCAAUGCCUUGGGGGGACCUCGGACAACACCUGACUGUUCUGGAAGGCUUGUCCUCGGCGAGGAAGGAGCCUCAAUAAAGGUUCUGAGAAUCUGAGGUCAUUAUACACUCAAACGGCAAAACCUUCCAUUUUUUCUUUCUUCCUAUGACCAAUAGGCAAACUUCUGAUCACUGUUUUCUCAUGGGGCUUGCUAACAGGGUAAAGAAUAAACAGACAUCUGAUUUGCCUGAUGGUGUUACUUUCCAUAGUAAGUUGACAGGUGGGUAUCACAUUUUUUUGAAAUGUCAGUCACAUUGCUGGUAAGAAUUUGCACCCAGUCAGUGAAAGUAAGACGUAACCUAGAACUCUGAUGAGUUUGUGUCUGAGCCUGCAGGUUUCCUAUUUACACAGAGACAUCUCUGUGCAGUACAAUGUCAAGGACAAAAUGUCUUGAAUUUCCACAGGAGGAGGAAAAUUUGAAGCCACCUCCAUUCUUUUGGGACAGACAUAUGGACAUUUAUUUACUCUUUCUCCCGUGGGAGGCAACGGUAUGAAAGGCACUUGCACGUCCUCACGAGGGACCCUGAGAACCAAGGGAGACUAAGCUGUGAGAUGUGCCCCUGCCCUUGCCCGGCGUGACUGUUCUGCUUCAGCAAUUAACAGAAAAAAAUACCCUAAUAGAUGCCUGGUGGAAGCUGUCAGAUGUGGUUAUCAAGCCGAUGUGAAUAUUUACUCAAAUCUAUAAUGGUCUCCAACUUUUUCAGCAAUCUUUUAAUGAAGGCAUCUUUAACUUCCACUUUUUCAACGAAGCACAAGGCUGCUUGAAGCUGGCAGUUCUGUAAUAUCAAGCAAUGCCUCAUUUCACACCACCAAAUGUGCGGGGAGCUCACCGAGCUGCUUAAGUAACCCCUAGGUCAAUAAACUGAGUCAUUAGC